CUCUGAUGGAUCUUGAUCUCUGAGCCUUUUCUCCAAGGUGGGCUGGGCCUCACCUGUUUGAGUCCCAUUCCUUCCUAUUCCUUUCUUGGCAACUCGCUGUACCAGAGCAGAACGGUGUCCCCAAGCCAGGGCGCCUGGUCUUGUCGACUGUGCCAAGAGCGGGCUAUACCUGUGGGAUGCAAUGGGCCCACCAGCCCUCUGAGUGUCCAAGGGAGGCCUUGGGUGGUCAGAGCCUCUGGCCUGACCACCUCUGAUCCCAAGCAGACCUCUUUAUUUACCCCAGCCUGCCGUACACAAAGGAUCCCUUCCUGUAGGCCGUGAGCCUUGUCUGUGGCGCAGGUUGGGGAUGGCCUAAGCAGUGGCUUUUUCCCUGGGUGAAGGCAGAAUGAGAUCUGGAGACCGGAACUCCUCUAGAGGACCAUACCUUGCCUACUCUGACUUUUCACAGCCCCAAGCAUGUUGUACAACUUUCUCUUCUGUACCAGGUAUGGGAAGGUGAUGGCUCCUGGGCAUCCGGAGAGCAAGAAGGGGCCCCUCCUCUUCAUCCUGGGUUGGUGUGUCAGUGUGCACCCCACCUCUGGGACUCUUUGGCAAAGCCCUCGAUGUCUCUGAGGCUGGGGGGUAUCGGUUGAAGAAUGGACACUCAGAAGUCUAUCCCAGACAAGACUGGCUUCAGGUGACAUGGCGGUUGCUGGGCAGGAAAUUCAGAACAAAAGACCUCUGGACAAUAGCUCCAUUGCCAAGCCGCUCAGGCCGCAGGUAUUUCUCAG